AAAUUGAGCAAAUCAGUCUGGGAGCUUUUCGAUGUUUAAAAUGCAGAGUCAGUUGUUGUGCGUAUGAUAUCCCAGAAAGCUAGGAGUCGGAGAGUACUGCAACGGAUGCAGAUACUACAAGGCAGAUUGUCGGUAAGGUUUGCAGUUAAUACUGAAUGUGCAUUAUAGAUUCUAGGAAAGCAUUGUGAACACAGUGACUGAAACACAGGUACUUUAACA